rnacentral:rRNA from 1 species
GACGAACGCUGGCGGCGUGCUUAACACAUGCAAGUCGAACGGAAAGGCCCUGCUUGCAGGGUACUCGAGUGGCGAACGGGUGAGUAACACGUGGGUGAUCUGCCCUGCACUUCGGGAUAAGCCUGGGAAACUGGGUCUAAUACCGGAUAGGAGCCAUUUUUAGUGUGAUGGUUGGAAAGUUUUUUCGGUGUAGGAUGAGCUCGCGGCCUAUCAGCUUGUUGGUGGGGUAAUGGCCUACCAAGGCGGCGACGGGUAGCCGGCCUGAGAGGGUGGACGGCCACAUUGGGACUGAGAUACGGCCCAGACUCCUACGGGAGGCAGCAGUGGGGUAUAUUGCACAAUGGGCGCAAGCCUGAUGCAGCGACGCCGCGUGGGGGAUGACGGCCUUCGGGUUGUAAACUCCUUUCGCUAGGGACGAAGCUUUUGUGACGGUACCUAGAUAAGAAGCACCGGCUAACUACGUG